rnacentral:rRNA from 1 species
CAGCACCUCAAGUGGUCAGGAUGAUUAUUGGGCCUAAAGCAUCCGUAGCCGGCGCUGUAAGUUUUCGGUUAAAUCUGUACGCUCAACGUACAGGCUGCCGGGAAUACUGCAGCGCUAGGGAGUGGGAGAGGUAGACGGUACUCGGUAGGAAGGGGUAAAAUCCUUUGAUCUAUCGAUGACCACCUGUGGCGAAGGCGGUCUACCAGAACACGUCCGACGGUGAGGGAUGAAAGCUGGGGGAGCAAACCGGAUUAGAUACCCGCGUAGUCC